rnacentral:rRNA from 1 species
AAUAUGGCACAAGGGGCGAAAGCCUGAGGCAGCAACUCCGCGUGUGCGAUGAAGGCUUUCGGGUCGUACAGCUCUGUCCGAUGGGAAGAUUAUGACUGUACCUUAGGAGGAAGCCCCGGCUAACUACGUGCCAGCAGCCGCGGUAAUACGUAGGGGGCAAGCGUUAUCCGUAUUCAUUGGGCGUAAAGGGUGCGUAGGCGGCCCUAUAGGUCAGAGGUCAAAGGCUACGGCUCACCCGUAGUAAGCCUUUGACACUGUAGGGCUUGAGUGCGGGAGAGGAGAGUGGAAUUCCUAGUGUAGCGGUGAAAUGCGUAGAUAUUAGGAGGAACACCAGUGGCGAAGGCGACUCUCUGGACUGCAACUGACGCUGAGGCACGAAAGCGUGGGGAGCGAACA